GAUGAACGCUGGCGGCGUGCCUAAUACAUGCAGGUCGAGCGAACGGACGAGAAGCUUUCUUCUCUGAUGUUAGCGGCGGACGGGUGAGUAACACGUGGAUAACCUACCUAUAAGACUGGGAUAACUUCGGGAAACCGGAGCUAAUACCGGAUGAUAUUUUGAACCGCAUGGUUCAAAAGUGAAAGACGGUCUUGCUGUCACUUAUAGAUGGAUCCGCGCUGCAUUAGCUAGUUGGUAAGGUAACGGCUUACCAAGGCAACGAUGCAUAGCCGACCUGAGAGGGUGGUCGGCCAGACGAGAACUGAGACACGGUCGAGACUCCGACGGGAGGCAGCAGUAGGGAAUCUUCCGCAAUGGAGGAAAGCCUGACGGAGCAACGCCGCGUGAGUGAUGAAGCACUUCGGAUCGUAGAGCUAUGUUAUUAGGGAAGAACAUAUGUGUAAGUAACUGUGCACAUCGUGACGGUACCUAAUCAGAAAGCCACGGCUAACUACGUG
rnacentral:rRNA from 1 species